GAGUGGAGGAAGAGAAACAAGCCAUAUAGGAUCACAAUGAGUUCUUCCCCUUUUCUUUUUCAGGAUCCCAUGUCAUGAUAAUAACAGCCUUUGCAGGAUUUGUAGCCGUCGUGGUCCUUGGAAUAAUCAGGAGGAAAUGUCAUCUCAACAGGAGAACACAGCAGAAAGCGGUGUACACCUUUAAAGAGGAGGAGCAACAGGACAUUGAUCCCUACAACACGCUCACAAGAAGAGACAAUGGGAUCUACUCAACUCUCCAGCUGACACCUUUUAACCCCUGACCUCUAGCACCGUUGACCAAUGACGACAUGUCAUUAGACACCUUUUUCUAUCACUAGGGGUUAAAUACUAUUUCACCAGCCCUGGAUAUACAACUGUACAGUAUGUCCAUUUACUGUAUAUCUUGAUUACUGUAAUGCCCCUAUUUUUACAGCUGAUACACUGACUUUAUAUAGUUCCAUUGAUUGGUUACUGACACCUGGCUGAAUAGGUCCUGUACUGUAGAUAGUCUUCUGUUGCUGUAAAUAUCAGCACUUACUGUAUGAAUCAUGCACAUUGUUACGUAUAACCAAUGUUCCUGUGGACAGAUGUGAUCAUGUGCAUUUCCACCAGGUGUCAAUGUUUUGCAUUUGUAAAAUAUAUUCCUUGCAGCAGUAUGUACAGUCAUCAUCACAACAUGCUUCAUGACAAUGCAUUUUCCUUGCUUUCAAUGGUCCAUCGCCAUUUAUCAUGUAGGCCUACAUGAAUUACAUGUUCAGGGGAAGAGAUGUAACGACAAAA